rnacentral:misc_RNA from 1 species
GCAGGGAAGAGAUUCAGCGCAUGUAUGACCGGGGAUCGACUACUGUCCCAAGUACAGCAACUGCUGCUGGUGGGAUGGUUGGGUGGAGAAGUUGACCCUUAAUUGAUCGUUCGCCAAGUAGCAUACCAUUUAAUGACAAUUGGUUAUUCUUGUAUAUGCAUGUGUUUGUACAGAACAGUUACAAUGGUUCUGGCAGUGACUUAUUGGAUCCAAAAAUGCCUCCAAAAGAUUUAUUUUAAGUUCCCACAACGAAUGAUGACUACCGUAUUGUCUUUUACGCUACCUUCCCUGAUGGCAUUAUUGUAUUAAGUGGAAACUGUCCUGUUGAUGUAAAAUGUAAUUGAAUCUUACAAGCUUGAAGCAAAAUGUGCAAUUUGGGAUGUGUACGCUCUGCAGAAGAGUCCUAUGCCUGCAAGCCCACGUUAGUAGAACUGGUAGCUUGUAUUACAGUAGUUUUGUGGACCUUUACAAAAGAAGAAUAACGUCUAAUCCUUAAUAGAUUCAACAAAAUCAGCAAUUUUGUUUGUUCGUCUGUGUUUCUCAUUUCAAACUGGGCAAACACGGAGAGGACCAAGACCAAAAUAUUUUUGCAUAGAUCUAAUGGUAACUAA